ensembl:snoRNA
UUGCCCACUCUGGACCAACCCGUGUCCUUGGUGACCAACACAGGGGGGCAGAGUACUACUACUACUCUCAUAAACCUGUAGUGAAGGAACAAAUCCUCACUUCGGAUCCUGUCGGGAGAAACAAGC